rnacentral:lncRNA from 1 species
GGACGCGCGGCCGGGGAAGGAGGCCGGGCCGAGGAGGCGGGAGGAGGGGGCCUGCCUCCGCCGCCGCGGCGCCGACCCCGCCUCCCGGUGUUGCUAAAAGCCUCCAGUGAAUGAAUGAACACUUGUGUGCCUGCCCUCAAGGAGCCUGCACUACACUUGGAGAUAUAUACAGAAACCUGUUGAGGGCUAACUUAGGUUGGCAAGGCCCCCAGUGGCCAAGGCAUGAGCCUGGAUGCCCUGCAAAUUGAGUACGUGUUAGGGAUGGGGGCCAUUCUUUAUAGUUUGACUCUGGAGAGCUAGGACCACCUUUCCCAGCCUCAGGGGUGCACAUCCUCAGGAGCUGCCUACCUCCAGAUAUUGUAAGUCCAUGCAGAAGAGGAAGGGCCCAGCUGGGGCACCUCUUGGUUGAGGAAUGAGUAUGUGACAUUUUCAUGUGGGCACAUUUUGAUACUACUUUAAAAAUAGACCAAGCACAGUGGCUCACACCUGUAAUUCCAGCACUUCGGGACGCUGAGAGAGGUGGAUCACCUGAGGUCAGGAGUUCGAGAUCAGCCUGGCCAACAUGGAGAAACCCCGCCUCUACUAAAAAUACAAAACAUUAGCUGGGUGUGGUGGCACACACCUGUAAUUCCAGCUACUCGGGAGGCAGAAGCAGGAGAAUCGCUUGAAUCCAGGAGGCGGAGGUUGCAGUAAGCCGAGAUCACGCCACUACACUCCAGCUUACACUGGACAUGAUGAGGAGGAGGAGGAUGAUGGUGGUGAUUAUGAUAGAAAUGGUGAUGGUGAUGAUGACAAUGGUGAUAGUAGGGAUGGUCUUGCUCUGUCGCAAUCAAUAAAUGAAUGCAUAAACACAUUUCUACUUGUUUUUGCAGUCCUAAGAUAAGUGCUCAGUAGCAUCCCUGCCCUUCUAAUGUGAACUUGAGGGAUGGGUAAGACCCAGAGAUGGCAUGGGGGACGGGAUAAGGAAGGCCUACUGUUCAUAUUGUGAACAUGAAAUGGUUUUACAUUUUGAUGCCACUUCAUUAAAUUGACUGUAUGAUAUGAGCUAACGCUACACCCUCCUUUAAAUUUUGGCUAACACAUCCAUAUCCUCAGGUGGUAUCAGUUGAUAAUGCCCAUGAAAAUAUUUUGUAAACUACAGGGUGCUAAACAAUUAUUUACUUGUAUCCCUUUCUGUGGGGCACAGUUUGAUGCUAUACACAAAGCAGUGAAGUCUCGACAAGAAUGAUGACCACUACAAUGAGCACAAAAUAAAGUCUUUUUGGGGUUUUUUGUUUUUUGUUUUCUUUUUGGAGACAGGGUCUCGCUCUGUCACCCAGGCUGGAGUGCAAUGGCACGAUCUCAGCUCACUGCAACCUCUGCCUUCUGGGUUCAAGUGAUUCUCCUGCCUCAGCCUCCUGAGUAGCUGAGAUUACAGGCCUGUGCCACCACACCCGGCUCAAUUUUUUGUAUUUUUAAUAGAGAUGGGGUUACACCAUGUUAGCCAGGCUGGUCUUGAACUCCUGGCCUCAUGUGAUCCUCCUGCAUCAGCCUUCCAAAGUGCUGGCAUUACAGGCGUGAGCAACUGCUCCCGGCACAAAAUAAAA